GGUCCAGGCACCCUAUUGCUGUCCAACACCCAGAAAUAGUGUCCUAAAGGAGGAGGACAGUGGAAGCAACACUGGUAUGUUAAUCCUGGCAUGUCUUGAAUCAAACCACAGACACUGAUGACAUUCCAGGCUGGAAUACACUUCUACAGUGCCAACGGGUCUGUCGUGGGCUGGCUGAGUGCAUCAAUCCAAAAACACCCUGUUUUAUCCCGAAUCGACCUUUGGGUUGCAACCCACAUACAACACUUCCAUCUCCUCAUCCAUCCUGGCCUCAUCUCGCCAUUCCUCACUUCUCUCUUUGAUUGAGACUGUGCCUGUUGCCCUCCUCCACACGGCCCACUCAUAAUGACAUUAUUUCCCCAUGUUUCUCUUGGCCGUUGGGGCUGGCCCGGACACAGAGCUCCUGGCUACCUCUGAGGAGACAUGGCCUCCGGGCUCCGGCUCAAGUCACAGCUGGAGAGAAUGUCACAGCAGCAGGACAGGCAGCCAAUCCAAAACAUCUUGGAAUCACACUCUGCCAUUUUUGACUGGUCAGGAAAAGUUCAAAAGAUCUGUGUUUUUCAUUAGACAAUAUUACUCUCUUAUUACAGGGAAUGUUUUGACUUUGUCAUUGGAAGAUGUUGGGCUGAGUGAAUAAUUGUGAAAAUUCAAUUUUCAGUCUUAUUUAGGGCUGAAGUGUUGGUUAUCCAUCUCCUCAGUAAGGUUGUUCUGAAGAUACUGACCUUUAUUUAGUUCCUCCUGUGGAUUGGGAGUCAUCUCUGGCUCCUCAUUUGGCUGGAUCUGGGGAGGCUCUGGCUCUGGUGUGUCAACCAAGUACUAAAUGAGUCAGAGUAUCCAAAAGCAACCAACUUCCCUAUAAUAUCUCUCAAAUCUAAUACUUAAUGAAAUAUACCUUUUGGUUUGUUAUCAAUUACGUUAUUGCAUGAGCUAGCCUUUGGUGUUGUACUGGCUGGUUUUGUGCUUGUAAUGGUAAAUACUAAGACAGAAAUUAAUUAAGAUGAACAGACAGGCUUCUGCAUUUUAACAUGCAUAACGCUAUUGAUAUGAAUAUACUGCAUGAAUAGUGCCAGCAUGCCUAUCUUUUAAAUAAAAGCUAUACCUUU